CCUACGGGAGGCAGCAGUGAGGAAUAUUGGUCAAUGGGCGCGAGCCUGAACCAGCCAAGUCGCGUGAGGGAAGACGGUCCUAUGGAUUGUAAACCUCUUUUGUCGGGGAGCAAAAGACGCCACGCGUGGCGUUCCGAGAGUACCCGAAGAAAAAGCAUCGGCUAACUCCGUGCCAGCAGCCGCGGUAAUACGGAGGAUGCGAGCGUUAUCCGGAUUUAUUGGGUUUAAAGGGUUCGCAGGCGGAAGAUCAAGUCAGCGGUAAAAUUGAGAGGCUCAACCCCUUCGAGCCGUUGAAACUGGUUGUCUUGAGUGGGUGAGAAGUAUGCGGAAUGCGUGGUGUAGCGGUGAAAUGCAUAGAUAUCACGCAGAACUCCGAUUGCGAAGGCAGCAUACCGGCGCUCAACUGACGCUCAGGCACGAAAGUGUGGGUAUCGAACAGGAUUAGAUACCCUUGUAGUC
rnacentral:rRNA from 1 species